GUCCCUACCUGUGCUUGCUCUGAAGGUUUUUUUUAAUCUCUGUAUUGUCUACAAGUCCUCUGGCACCACACAUGCAUUGCAGAUGCAGCACUGAGACUCCAGCCUCCAGGUGGUACCACAGGACAAAGUAUAAAGGAACGUACGGGUAAGUGUCUGGAGCCAACAUCAACUCCUUGUGUUUCAGAAUUGUGCUUCAGGACAAUAACUUUCGCAGUCUGGAGAAGAUUAAUUCCAGAAUGAUGGACAAUGAAUUGCACAUGUUGCUAAGUUGUGAAGAAGUUACAGUGGGGGAACACCCCAGCAGACCUUCUUUCUAAAUGCCUUUUGUUUUCAUUUCCCACAGUCUAGCCCAUCUGGCAGCUUUGUGAUACCGGACAUAACCCACAAAAGCUUGAGCUGUUUCAUUUUCUGAAUAAAUGAGUUCUCAGUCACUGUGAUCAAAGUUCAGUGUUCUUCAUCUGAGGUCUCCAAUCCCCUCUGCCUGGAGCCUGGCCACCAGCCCAGCCAGGGUGCUCCUUGUUCCAGUGAAAAUCUGCAAUCUCACAUAGAUCUCACAAUACUUGUACAGCAGGUGGUGUCCAUAUUCACUCCUCAUAAUCUUCCUGUGUCUGUAGAGCACUCUUCAGCCUGACCUCCUAAAUCCAUGGAGCCAGCAGAGCCACCUGCCUGAGUCACAUUGCCACAGAUGUGGAGCAGCACUUCCUCCAGCCCCAGCGGUCACAUCAGUGUGUUCAGACUGAGCAGUCCUGAUUUACCGCUAUGCGUGACUCAAGGUCCAAGAUGCCCAGGGCAGCCCUGAU
ensembl:lncRNA